rnacentral:lncRNA from 1 species
CUCUGCCACCACUAACCCCAUCCCCCAGAACGUAAGCUGCCUGAGGGCUGGGAUGUUUUGGUCCUUCAUUCCACAGGUGUUUAUGGACAGCCUACUUUAUGCCUAGUUCAUGAACCAGGCACUGCUGAUGCCAUAACGCCCAAGGGACAAAACAAACUCCUGCUUUCGUGAGUUGAGACAUGCAAUUAAGUAGGGAAAAAAAGUAGAAAAGAAAACCAAGAAAAUGUCAGAGAGUGAUAGAUACCAUGAAAGAAAUGUAGGUGGUUGAUGUAUCGACAGGGAGGCGGUGCGUGACCAGGGUGGCGUUCAGCCGGUAUGCACAGAUGCAGCUGUCCCAGUUGUGCAUGGCCAGCAUCUGUUUUGGAUUAACCAGUGAUUGUGCUAUCCCUGUGGUUAGAAAUAUUUAACGCCACUGCUGGGCUGUGGUACAUCAUUAGAUACAACAGAAGGCAUCUUCGAGAGCACAGUAUUGAACCAGAUCUGAACAGUGAGAAGUUGGCCGUGGGUAGAUAUCAGGGAAUUGCUCCAGGAGACAGGACCAGCACGUGCAAAAGGCCUGGAAGAAUCUUGGAGUAAGAGAAAGCCAGAAAGAAGGCAGCCAGGUGACGAGAGCACAGAAAUUACCAAGGUUGGCAAGAACCCAGAUUUGGUCCAGGUGUGCAUGCAGCCAAGUGCUUCACAGGAAACUCACCCCACCUCCAGCUCUGAGAGUGAGCCUGGUUGCUUCGAAAGUAAUCCCAAACUCCCUGCAAUGGUUUGCUCAAGAAUGCCAUGCGACCAAAUGUGAGCCAACGAAAGAAAAGGAGAAGCUUGGGAGAGAACUUUGUUUCCUUAUUCAACAAAUAUUUAUUGAGUAUCUAUUGUGUUCCAGGCACUGCUCUAGGGGCUGGGAAUACAGAACUUGCGAAGUUAAAAAAAAAAAAAAGGAAGGAAGAAAUCACUGCUUUUGCGAGAAGAGACAGACAACAAACAAAAUAAGUCAUUAUACGUACAUACAAAAUACUUGGCAGCAGUCAGUGAAACAAGGGAAAGUAGAACAGGGAAGAGAAAGGGAAAGCCCAGGGGCUGUGUUUUUAAAUCAUGUUCUCAGGGAAGGCCACUUGAAGGAGGUGAGGGGUGAUUCCUAACGAUGUCUUCAGGGAGAGCGCUGCAGGCACAGGGUCCUGAGGUGGAAAUGGGCUUGGCGUGUUUGAGGAGCAGCAAGGAAGCCAGGGUGGCUGGAGUAGACCGGACACGCGGGAUGAGAGCAGCAGAGGAAGGCAAAGAAGUGACGCCGGGCCAGGCCCCAUGGGCUCUGCAGUCUGGGAAGGGCUCUGGCUGUCACAGGCUGUGAUGGGACAUGGAGUCUCCGAACAGACGGGGUCACGGUUUCACUCACGCUGCAGCAGGUGUGCUUUGGUUGCUGUUUGGGGAACAGACUGAGAGAAAGCAAGGACAAGAGCUGAAAGAGUCCCUCCUCCGUCUUCUGGAAGAGCUUCCAGAAGCUCCUUCUCUUGUCCUUUGAUGUUAUCACGUGUGGACGUGAGAGGAACUGCUCAGGCUCUCCAGACCCACCCGAUAUGAAGCCGCUCCGGGGAGAAGGUGGAACCAAGAGAAGUGCAGGGAAACACAGACAGAACUAGAGAAUUCGGGCAACUGUGAAGCCCAGCUGGCACCUGAACUUCCAGUUCCGUGAGUCAGUAAACAUCCUCACUGUUUAAAGCAAAGAGAGUUCUGUUUCUGUUUCUUUCACCCAAAAUCUUUCUAACUGAUUCAUCAUGCAACUUCACUAUCCAUCAAUCACCAUUUGCUCCCACCAUGCAAGGUGUGGUUUCCCAGGCGAUCUUUACUUAGUCGUGUGUAAGGUCUCAAUUCAG